rnacentral:rRNA from 1 species
CGUCAGGACGAACGCUGGCGGCGUGCCUAAUACAUGCAAGUCGAACGGUCUUUCUAUGGAAGCUUGCUUCCACUGAAAAGAUAGUGGCGAACGGGUGAGUAACACGUGGGUAACCUGCCCAUAAGAGGGGGAUAACAUCCGGAAACGGGUGCUAAUACCGCAUAGUUUUCUUGAUCGCAUGAUCGGGAAAGGAAAGACGGCCUUUGUGCUGUCGCUUAUGGAUGGACCCGCGGCGUAUUAGUUAGUUGGUGAGGUAACGGCUCACCAAGACGAUGAUACGUAGCCGACCUGAGAGGGUGAUCGGCCACAUUGGGACUGAGACACGGCCCAAACUCCUACGGGAGGCAGCAGUAGGGAAUCUUCCGCAAUGGACGAAAGUCUGACGGAGCAACGCCGCGUGAGUGAAAGAAGGUUUUCGGAUCGUAAAACUCUGUUGUCAGAGAAGAACAAGUUGGAGAGUAACUGCUCCAGCCUUGACGGUAUCUGACCAGAAAGCCACGGCUAACUACGUGCCAGCCGCCGC